CUCAAAGUUUUAUUCCCAAAAUUGGAACAGUUACUGGUGGAUGGCUGCUAUACAAAUCUUCAGGCUGGUUAACUGUCAGUGACCCCACCAAGGCCAUAUCUCAGUGUGCUGAAAGUUUUCGACGUAUUCAUGAAGCAAAGAGUCCCUUACUUCCAGCAUGGACUUAAGUGAAAGCCCUGCUGAGCAGGACAUGGCACUUGUCUCCUUCUAUAAGCGACCUAAUGUGGAGUGGGGACGACCCCUGAAUUGCAGCCUUGAAGGAGAUACUGCUAUUGGACAUGGUGUAACUAAGUUCUUUUUCUCCACAUGCAUGGAGAAGCUGAGGUCAGGCUUUUGCAUCAAUUUUGCAAAUUCAAGUUAUACACAGCUUUUUGAAGGAGAGCCUGGCCAUUUAGUUCCCUCAGCCUCUCACUUUCUCGUGGAAAGUGACAUGUUCAUGGUGGCGGGUAGAAUGAUAGGCCACUCCUUUCUUCAUGGAGGACCAUGCCUGCAGGGACUCAGCCCUGCUGUUAAUCAUGUCUUGCUUGGUGGCAGUCCCGAAACUGCAACAGUGACACUUGAGGACUGUCCAGAUCUGGACAUUAGAGAAACCAUCAGGCUUCUUGAGGGGGGAUCCACACUGUCAGAUAAGGAUAAACAAAGUGUCCAGGACUUGGCCUAUGUGUGGGACCUCCCUUCCCUAACUGACAACAACAGGAGGUGGCUUUUUGAAAAGCUAUUGAUUUGAAAAGCUAGUGAGUCAAAGAUUGAGAAAUGUGUCAAAAAAAAAAGUUACUAUUCAUGUUUUUUAUUAUUAUUAUUUUUGUAUCUUGUGGGUUAUGUUUUGGUUAUAAAUGCACAUUGAUAAGGUUUUAUUAAAAAUGGUCAGACAAAAUUAAAAUGCUGCACUUUUUCCUGAUUAAUAUGAUUCCAAAGUUUAGUGGGUGGUCUGUAAGUCUGCAGGACAGCAGUGGAAUGCAGCAUAAUAAUUGUAUUAAAGUGGAAUUCUAAUUUUUAUAUUUUACUCUUCAAGCUUGCUUUUAGAUAAAGGAAUUUUAUGGGUUCUAUUCUCUCUGUCUUAUUACUACUAACAGGUAAUAGGACGCGUCACGAGGCAAAUUAAGCAGCUGAGACGAGGUAUUAAAGAAACCCCUAUGUGGACACUGGUGACCCAAAGACCUGACACAGUGGCCUUGCUUUUUCCUAAAGACACGGCGGGGAAUGUCAGCGCUGAGGUACUUCUUCAGCGCAUCACAUGGCCUCGUGAGGAUGACAACGAUGAUGAGGACUGUUCAGUUGAAACCAAAUGCCGCAUGUCAGGGUAUCUACGACAGUUCAUAGCUAAUGCAACACCAACUGAAUUGACCAACCUGGUCAAAUUCUGGACCGGAUGGGAGGUCCUACCACUAAGUCUCUCUCUGGAAGUCGUCGAGGGAAGAUACCUCACAGCCUCCACCUGCUUUGAGACCUUGCGCAUCCCAGGGCAUUACAAGGACUACACGUCUUUUAAACAUGACAUCCUGACAUGUAUUUGCACUUGCCAUACAGGAUUUGGUCUUGUCUGAGUGACAUCUAGGCCUGUAUUUACACUUGCCAGACAAGAUUGUUCAAGUAAAAUGUAGAUGUUUUUAUGCUUGUUAGCUGUCAAGUGUUCAGAUUCACCUGACAGUAUGGAAUUGUUGUAUUUUGUAGAACUGUAACUUAAACUGUAACCCACAGAUUUCACACCAUGCCUUACUCUGUUUUGACACAUCUGAUGUUGAAAAUACAGUUUUUAAGAGGUGGAUUUACACUCAUUCCAUUUUCACAAUGCUACAUAGUUGAAAUGUAUUAAGAUCGUUUAGUAAAAUGUUGAUGUUUUUCUUAU